UUCCAAUUGCUUGAUUUGAAUAAAUUGAAGCAUCAAGUAGGUAGUAGCAUGUACUUAUUGAAGCCUCAGAGUGGAAAGUUAAAAGCAUUUUGUUCAUCUAUUUUUUUUCAUGAAAUCACUGAUAUAAAUGUUGUUUUCAUUUGUUUUGAUUUGUAGAUGAGUAUGAUACACCGAUAUAAAAUUUUGGAGGAGGAACGUGUUUUGGCCCAUGUGUCGCAAGUGAGCAACACAAAAUACAUAGCAGUUGUCCUCAACAAAUUGGAUUCGCAACAAAAACGUCAGUUGGAGGAGAGUUGUAUAGGACAUGUUGCAAGGUUAUCGGAGCCGAAAAUAUCCGCACAAUUAAUUCAUGAAAUGGUAAACAGAUCGGUGGUUUGCCGAAAGCGGUUUGAGGCUUGGUUCAAGGUAAACCAAAGGUUCGCACGAUUUAGAUUGCCAGAGUUCACAUUAAUCACCGACUUGAAGUGCGGUCCAGAGCCUAAAGGUACCUAAGUUGACAAAAUCCUAGAGAAAACCCGUUUACAGGACAGAAUGUUUGCUAAUAUAAAUCGGAUAACUUGUAGCAACUUGGAGAAAGUUUUCUUGAAAUGUGCCAACCGUAAUGAUUGUUACAAGCUUGGGUUUGCACUAAUUAUUGAAUGGGGUAUUUAAUUUAAGAGACCGAAAUGUAGGAAUACAUCCGACAACUCUCUCCAUCAUUGACAACUUUGAUUUCUUCAAUGGCUACUCAUAGGGGACGGUAUGUUUUCAACUUCUUAUCAAAUCACUGCUACGUAGAUGGGAAAGAAAGGCGGACAUGACAAAAGUGAACGAUUGUGAUAGGAUGACUUACACGUUGUACGGAUUUCCUCUUGCCCUCCAGGUAUACAUCUAUUUUGGUUCAUUUCAGUUCUUUUCAUCACACAUUGUUAUUUACCUCCGAAUAUGAUUAUUAUUGUUAUAAAUGUCAUGCAGGUUUGGGCGUAUGAGGCAAUCCCAGAGUUGGGAGCUCUAUUCUCGAGUAAGAUUUGUGACGAUGUUCCGAUGAUGUUGCGGUGGUCUGGCAGGAAAAAUCCUCAUUCCCGAACAUAUUCAAAUUUUUUUGAGAAGACAGAUGUGAGUGAUUUACAUACGUAAUUGCCUUACACUUUCGCAAUAUAUAAUAUUUAAUUUCGCUCAUUUUUCCUUUCCCUGUAGGUGCACUUGUGGGUAACACUGCGGGCAACUGCUGCAGAAGAAUUGUAACCGUACUUCGUUGAUCUAGUUCCGUUAGAAGAUGUAGCUGACCCCGUUCUAAAUAGUCUUGUUGCUCAAUCAAUAGAAAUACAAGCUUGUCUAGUUGAAGAUGAUGUUAUAUGGAACGAUGACAAUAACCAUUGACCAAAUAAAUCUCAGAGAGACGACAAAGGUGGACUUCAUCAUCGAGGUUUGCAUCACGUUGAAGGUAGAGAAGAAGAGCAUGGGGAUCCGAUCAUCGAAAGGCAUGUGUCUUUAAAUGAGAUAAGAGCUCUCUUGAACGAACAACGGGAGGCAUUUGAGAGCAAGAUGGGCAAUUUGAGGGAGGAGAUGAACACAAGAUUCGCUAGUCUCCAAAAUGAUCUAGGAGAUUAUGUGUGUGGUUUGAGAAAUCAUGUCACUGAUGAGAUAAAUAUGCUCUGACGAAGGUUUGAUGAAGUUGCAAUAGAAAUUGGGCAACACAAUGUUGCUGAUGAGUAUGAUGGAUUUGGUCAUAACGAUCGCGGUAGAGAUGAGCCCCAACCACGUGAUAUUUUUACUCCCAAUAUUUUUGCGGAUGACAGGAUGUCGGAGAGGCUAUCGAAGCAGUUGUUUGCAAUAUUCCUAAUGUGUCCAUAACGUCGAAAGGUGGGUUUGGAGUUCUUAGGUCAGUUUACGUCGCUUGUGAUAUUGUGGAGAAGGCACCAACCAUUGUACCUACAGCUGAUGCGUCCAUUGCUAGUCCACCUACACGCAGACCUCGAUCAUUCAGGUUGGGGUAAGAGGGAUGCGUAGUUUGUGUAUUUUGAUUGACGAUAGAUAAUGGUGAUUGGAUAUGAACUUUAUGUUGAUUCAAAUUAACUAGUUUGCAUAUUUUGAUUUGAUGUUUUGAUGCGCAAUAAGUAUUGUGGUUUAUAUGGUGGUAUUUGGUCAUGUAUUUUGGUACACUUGCAAUAUGAAAUAUCAAGCUUUAGGUUGAUUCAAAUUUAGUGGUUUGUAUUCUUUUGAUUUAUAUGGUGGUAUGCAAUAUGAACAUGGGUUGAUUCGAAUUUAG
rnacentral:lncRNA from 1 species